rnacentral:lncRNA from 1 species
CGGUGAGGAAGGCCGGUCUCCACAUUCACCAGGGAUUAACAUCGGAGCAUUAAGCCAGACCCUGAAAAGACAUAAACCACGAGUUCAUGCGCGGGGCAGCGGCUAGUUUAAAGAAGAACUUUCCUGCGUGAAGAAUGAAAUAGUUCCUUCCCGACCCCGCCCCCCUCAACGACAUUUACUCCCGCAACUUGAAGAGCGGUUACUGGUCACUGAAGCCUGCCAGCUGCGGGAGAGUCCAAACCCAGACCUGCCGCCGCUCUCAGGGCAUGGAAGGCACAAGUGAGCGAAGGCUGUUCCGCUUCCUUUCCGUGCUCGUCUUCUAAAGAGGGCGAGUCAUCCCAGGCCCCCUCCUUCCUUCAACUUCUUUCUCUUCCAAAGCUCAAAGUGCGGCAGGAAAAGCAGCCCUGAGGGCACGCCUGGAGGAACCAGAGGAUGGAGCCCAGAGCAAUCAAGUUCACUGAAGAGUGAAGGGUGAAUCCUGGAAAGGACAGAGCCAGAGAAGAGGAACCCAACAUUCUUCCCAUAAACUCUGCCCAAGGCUCUGAUUCACGCCGGACCCGCACACGAGCAGGGUAAACUGCAGGUGUCCCAGCUAAAGAUGAAAAGAAACGGAACCCGGAGCAAUCGCCUGCUGCAGAUCUGACUCCACAGGCGAGGGAAACAAAACCAAAAUCAACAAGUGGGAC